UACGUAGGGUGCAAGCGUUAAUCGGAAUUACUGGGCGUAAAGCGUGCGCAGGCGGUUAUGCAAGACAGAUGUGAAAUCCCCGGGCUCAACCUGGGAACUGCAUUUGUGACUGCAUGGCUAGAGUACGGUAGAGGGGGAUGGAAUUCCGCGUGUAGCAGUGAAAUGCGUAGAUAUGCGGAGGAACACCGAUGGCGAAGGCAAUCCCCCUGGACCUGUACUGACGCUCAUGCACGAAAGCGUGGGGAGCAAACAGG
rnacentral:rRNA from 1 species